UACAGAGGGGGCAAGCGUUGUUCGGAAUUACUGGGCGUAAAGGGCGCGUAGGCGGCCUUCUAAGUCGAACGUGAAAUCCCCGGGCUCAACCCGGGAACUGCGUCCGAUACUGGAAGGCUUGAAUCCGGGAGAGGGAUGCGGAAUUCCAGGUGUAGCGGUGAAAUGCGUAGAUAUCUGGAGGAACACCGGUGGCGAAGGCGGUCUGCUGGGCAGUAGCUGACACUGAUGCGCGACAGCGUGGGGAGCAAACAGG
rnacentral:rRNA from 1 species